rnacentral:rRNA from 1 species
CCUACGGGGAGCAGCAGUGAGGAAUAUUGGUCAAUGGGCGAGAGCCUGAACCAGCCAAGUCGCGUGAAGGAUGAAGGAUCUAUGGUUUGUAAACUUCUUUUAUAUGGGAGUAAAGUGCGGAACGUGUUCCUUUUUGUAUGUCUCAUAUGAAUAAGCAUCGGCUAACUCUGUGCCAGCAGCCGCGGUAAUACGGAGGAUGCGAGCGUUAUCCGGAUUUAUUGGGUUUAAAGGGUGCGUAGGUGGUUAAUUAAGUCAGCGGUGAAAGUUUGUGGCUCAACCAUAAAAUUGCCGUUGAAACUGGUUGUCUUGAGUAUAUGUGAGGUAGGCGGAAUGCGUGGUGUAGCGGUGAAAUGCAUAGAUAUCACGCAGAACUCCGAUUGCGAAGGCAGCUUACUAAACUAUAACUGACACUGAAGCACGAAAGCGUGGGGAUCAAACAGGAUUAGAUACCCGAGUAGUC